UACAGAGGUCUCAAGCGUUGUUCGGAUUCAUUGGGCGUAAAGGGUGCGUAGGUGGCGCGGUAAGUCGGGUGUGAAGUUUCGGAGCUUAACUCCGAAACUGCAUUCGAUACUGCCGUGCUUGAGGACUGGAGAGGAGACUGGAAUUUACGGUGUAGCAGUGAAAUGCGUAGAGAUCGUAAGGAAGACCAGUGGCGAAGGCGGGUCUCUGGACAGUUCCUGACACUGAGGCACGAAGGCCAGGGGAGCAAACGGG
rnacentral:rRNA from 1 species